UACGGAGGGUGCAAGCGUUAAUCGGAAUUACUGGGCGUAAAGCGCGCGUAGGCGGCUCGGUCAGUCGGGUGUGAAAUCCCUGGGCUCAACCUGGGAACUGCAUUCGAUACUGCCGAGCUAGAGUGUGGGAGAGGGUAGUGGAAUUCCCGGUGUAGCGGUGAAAUGCGUAGAUAUCGGGAGGAGCAUCAGUGGCGAAGGCGACUGCCUGGCCCAACACUGACGCUGAGGUGCGAAAGCGUGGGUAGCAAACAGG
rnacentral:rRNA from 1 species